UGCUUAGUGCUUAUGGUAUUCGUUCACUCCACACGCUCAUUUGAACCAUUUAUUGGAGUUCUACAUGCAACAAAAUUCCAGCUUGCUGAAAGCUUCCAUGGUUGUAGGUUUUCAGCUUGGGUACACAGUGAUAUUUGGGUCAUAUGCAUCAUUUCUCUUUGUUCGAACUGGUUGGUCAUGAUUCUCUUAUUUUUCUUUAUCUUAUUCUGAAGUUUUUCCGAUAGGCAAAGCAUUUUUAUUUGUUUCAUAAUGGUUUAAAAACGGUUGAGGCGUGCUCCUCGAGGCCCGCCUCAAGGCGAACCACCAAUUCCGUCAACAGUGGAAUCAUACCCCGGCGCCGGUGUUCUGGCACCACUAGCAACCGUGGCGUGCAUUGCCAUGAUCAUCAAGGCGAGGGGCGCCUUGAGGCGCGCUUCAUAGGGCUGAGGCUCUAAGCAUAGUUGUCAAUAGCGAAUGACAGUCAAUAGCGACAGGCUACGUAUAUGCUACGUGUUGGUUCAGGUCCCACAAUACACACACAACACACACUUAUACUCUCACGUAGUAGUAAUUAUUAUGUAUAUGUGAAUAGGAAGAUAGAGAAAGCUUGCAGAAUUUCAAUCUAUAUUUACGAAUGAAGGGUUACGUAAAUAACAUACUUCUAUCCUAUUUAUAACUAAAGCCAAAUACAUGUAAAUAGAAAAUAAAUAAACAAUCUCCACGUAAAAAGUUGCAUGCCAUGAUCUCCGAUUUACUUGGUCAGCCAACACAUAAUUCGGUCGACGCAAGACCUUUUCUAUUCCUUUAUUCCCUAUUAACACAUGCUGAAACAAAUAACCAGGAUGACCCAUUUGAAUAACCCAUGACCAUGACCCGCAACGUGUUACCUGAGCUGAACCCGUGACCCGAUAACCGCGUGACCCGUAAACAAACCCGAAUAAUCCAACACUACGUAGUGAUAGCAACAAAAUAGCGCCCGCUAUUUCAUGUUUAGCAAUAAUGCAGAGAAACAAAAAAAAAUGCAUGUUAUCGAGCAGUAGAGAUGAGGAAAACAUAGAAAAAUACAUGUUAUAAGACGAAACCUGAGGUAUCGAGCAGUGGAGAUGAGAAAGAAAAUCUAAAAAAUUCUCUAUAUAUCGCUUUAUACCAUAUAGCGGCAUAUGACCUAUACGCUAUGUAGCGUGCACUAUUGACAACCAUGGUGCUAAAAAAAGUUGCGCCUCAAGGGGGUUUUGAUGUUUGUUUUGACUUUUGUGUCAAUAUCAGACAUUUCAUGCCUUUUUAUGUUUUUGAUGAAUCCGACGAUGAAAUUAGUUGGUAUCUUAUUUUUUAUAAAUUAUAUAAUAUUUAUGUAUUUUUUUAAUUCUGUCUCGGGCUUACGCCUCAUGAGGCGAAGGGAAAAUGCCUCGAGGCACGAUUCCAUACUCUUAAACCUUGUGUCUCAUUUGAAACUUGAAUUUAUUCCCAUUAAAACAAACAGGAAUUGGAGUUAAAAUAAUUAGGUUUGAACAUGGGUUCUUUUUGACCCAUAACCAAAUUUUUUGCUCAUGGGUCACAACCAGGUUGAUUUUUGGGCUUGAGCCCACCAGUUGGCAAACUAAUUGUUUUUGGUCCAAUAGUGUAGUUGAAGUCACAAUAUACCAUGUUCUAGCAAGGAUUAUAACUAUUAAGGUACUUUGUUUUCAACACCCACUAUACAUUAUCCAUCCUCCCAUCACUGUAUCAGGCAACCACCCUGUUGUUUUUCUAAUCAAACUAGUUAUAAAAACAGUCGCCGCGUUGCGGCGAACUUAUUUUGUUAUUUAGUCUGUGUUUAUAUGUGUUUGAAAUCACUACGAGCGCGUUGCACACGAAAUCG
rnacentral:lncRNA from 1 species